AUGGCUUCGGAAAUGGUGAAGGCGGCGACGAGCGAGAAGCUCAAGGAGAUGGACUGGGCCAAGAACAUCGAAAUCUGCGAGCUCGUCGCUCAGGAUCCGGGGAAAGCGAAGGAUGUGAUCAAAUCUAUAAAGAAGUGUAUAGGAAGCAGGAGCAAGAAUGCUCAACUUUAUGCUGUCAUGCUGUUGGAGAUGCUCAUGAAUAACUGUGGAGAGCCUAUCCACAAGCAGGUCAUUGAUAAUGGGCUUCUUCCGAUACUUGUCAAAAUAGUGAAGAAAAAGACGGAAUUGCCACUUCGGGAAAAGAUAUUUCUUUUGUUAGAUGCGACCCAAACAUCCCUUGGUGGAGCUAAAGGAAAGUUCCCCCAGUACUAUGAGGCAUAUUAUGAAUUAGUGUCUGCUGGUGUGAAGUUUUCGAAUCGUCCAAAUGUUGUCAUUACACAAGUACACAAUCCUGUGCCAGAAACAAUAACCGAACCGAAUAAGGACAAUCUAUCUAGCAGAUCGAAUGGUGUUCAACAGGAAGCUAACGUGCAGCUUGUUUCUGACACGAGUAUAAUUCGGAAAGCAUCCAGUGUCAUGGAAGUUCUCAGGGAUGUAUUAAAUUCCAUGGAUCCUAGACAUCCUGUGGGAGCAACAGAUGAGUUUGUGUUGGAUCUUGUAGAGCAAUGUACUUUUCAAAAGCAACGAAUAAUGCAUCUGGUUAUGACAUCAAGGGAUGAAGUGGUGGUAUCGCAAUGUAUAGAAUUGAAUGAGGAGCUGCAGAAGGUUCUUGUACGGCACGAUACACUGCUUUCAGUUCACCCAACUGCGACGACAGUGCCAUCUAAUCUCAAGGAGGACGAGGAGGAAGAAGAUGCUGAAAGUCUAUACCGGAGACUGCGGAAGGGGAAGGCUUUAUCGCAAGACCACAUAGACGAGUCCAUGCCAUCGUUUCGAUCUAUACCCGAGGAGAAGAUGCGCCGCCCGCUCACCAUCCAGACACCUCUCCCUGACAGGAAACCCACUGCACUGAACAUCCGCUCACCAGACCACCCGGAGGCGAGGCCUGACCCUGCUGUCUUGAUUCCGCCGCCACCCGCCAAGCAUGCCGAGAGGGAGAGGUUCUUCCGUGAGAAGAGCAUGGACGGCGGCGUCAACCUGCCUGGCCACCUCAGGGGCCUUUCAUUGCAGAGCAGCCGGGACGGCAGCAGCUCGUGCAGCGGCAGCACGGAUUACGGCGACUGA
rnacentral:rRNA from 1 species